UUCAUCGGUUUAUCUUUAUCAAAGAUAACUUUUCAGUUAUCUGAUUAUCUGUUAUUGAAGUUAAUUUUUUGGUUAUCUGUGCCCACCACUGGGUAGGCUCCAAUCCAACACCGUCAACAUCCCAUGAAGCAGCAUGACUUAAGGUAGAACACAGCAGGUAGGCUCCAACCCAACGCCGUCAACAUCCACUGAAACAGCAUGACUUAAGGUAGGACAAAGGAGAUAGGCUCCAACCCAACACCAUCAACAUCCCAUGAAGCAGCAUGACUUAAGGUAGGACACGGGAGGUAGGCUCCAACCCAACACCAUCAACCUCCCCUGAAACAGCAUGACUUAAGGAAGGACACGGGGGUAGGCUCCAACCCAACACCGUCAACAUCCCAUGAAGCAGCAUGACUUAAGGUAGGACACAGGAGGUAGGCUCCAACCCAACACCGUCAACCUCCCCUGAAACACCAUGACUUAAGGAAGGACACGGGGGUAGGCUCCAACCCAACACCGUCAACCUCCCCUGAAACAGCAUGACUUAAGGAAGGACAUGGGGGGUAGGCUCUGACCCAACACCAUCAACAUCCCCUGAAGCAGCAUGACUUAAGGAAGGACACAGGAGGUAGGCUCCAACCCAACACCAUCAACAUCCCCUGAAACAGCAUGACUUAAGGAAGGAUGCGGGGGAUAGGCUCCAACCCAACACUGUCACCCUCACCUGAAGCAGCAUGAGUUAAGGUAGGACACAGGAGGUAGGCUCCAACCCAACACAGUCAACCUCCCUUGAAACAGCAUGACUUAAGGAAGGACAUGGGGAGUAGGCUCCAACCCAACACCAUCAACAUCCCCUGAAUCAGCAUAACUUAAGGUCGGACACGGGGGGUAGGAUCCGACCCAACACUGUCAACCUCCCCUGAAACAGCAUGACUUAAGGUAGGACACAGGAGGUAGGCUCCAACCCAACACAGUCAACCUCCCCUGAAACAGCAUGACUUAAGGAAGGACACAGGAGGUAGGCUCCAACCCAACACCGUCAACAUCCCCUGAAACAGCAUGACUUAAGGAAGGACGCAGGGGAUAGGCUCCAA